rnacentral:rRNA from 1 species
GACGGGGGGGGGCAAGUGUUCUUCGGAAUGACUGGGCGUAAAGGGCACGUAGGCGGUGAAUCGGGUUGAAAGUGAAAGUCGCCAAAAAGUGGCGGAAUGCUCUCGAAACCAAUUCACUUGAGUGAGACAGAGGAGAGUGGAAUUUCGUGUGUAGGGGUGAAAUGCGUAGAUAUUGGGAGGAACACCAGUGGCGAAGGCGGCUCACUGGACCGGUACUGACGCUGAUGCGCGAAAGCGUGGGGAGCAAACGGG